CUUCCGUAGGUGAACCUGCGGAAGGAUCAUUACCGAGUGCGGGCUGCCUCCGGGCGCCCAACCUCCCACCCGUGACUACCUAACACUGUUGCUUCGGCGGGAAGCCCUCUCGGGGGCGAGCCGCCGGGGACUACUGAACUUCAUGCCUGAGAGUGAUGCAGUCUGAGUCUGAAUAUAAAAUCAGUCAAAACUUUCAACAAUGGAUCUCUUGGUUCCGGCAUCGAUGAAGAACGCAGCGAACUGCGAUAAGUAAUGUGAAUUGCAGAAUUCAGUGAAUCAUCGAGUCUUUGAACGCACAUUGCGCCCCCUGGCAUUCCGGGGGGCAUGCCUGUCCGAGCGUCAUUGCUGCCCAUCAAGCCCGGCUUGUGUGUUGGGUCGUCGUCCCCCCCGGGGGACGGGCCCGAAAGGCAGCGGCGGCACCGUGUCCGGUCCUCGAGCGCAUGGGGCUUUGUCACCCGCUCGAUUAGGGCCGGCCGGGCGCCAGCCGACGUCUCCAACCAUUUUUUUCAGGUUGACCUCGGAUC
rnacentral:misc_RNA from 1 species